UGAUUAUUAACAAUUAAUGUUUCUUAUCUCUAUUCUAAUUUGUAAGGUGUCUCCAUUCAGAUAAUUCAGUUUUCAUGCACGUGAACAUUUCUUCUCCAGAAUUCAUUUUUUUAUUUUAACAGCACUAAAUGGAACAGACGGCGAAACACUGCAAAGUUAUUGCUUGUCGCCGCAAAAAGAGACAAGCAAAGAAGCAAUUUUGAGGCAAUCGUUGCGCCGAUUAGGAACAAUGUGCCCACACAAAUACUUAGUACUGGGUAUGUCACGAUAACCAGUCGUGCAACAGAGCUCUCUGGGGGGUGGUAAGGGGCGAUAUAAAUGGGUAAUUCAAAUUAGGUAUGUAUGUGAGUAUAGUUCGCGCAACUGUUAAAUUUUAAACUUUUAUAUUUUACAGGCGCACACGCAUCACCUUUGGAGUUUUCCCUCACUGUUCGCACUCUAAAGUGAAGCUUGGCGGAGUACAAUCAGUAGUCUUCGUCUGACUCUGCCAAGGACUCGAACGAAGAGGGGCAAAAUGGAACAGACUCACUCGGAGGGUGUGGGCGUGGUCUCGCCUGUGGCCGCUUCUUCGCUGUUGGAUCUCGGUCGUUGGUGGCUCGCCUCGUCGCUUUCAGGGUUGCGCCGACGCUUGGCUGGCGGCGUCGUGGAUAUGGCUGGUGUGCGCCGCUGAUAUAGCUGGUGUGUGCCGCAGAGCCGAAUCCUGGCCUUUGGGAUGUUUCGUGGGCUUCUCU